rnacentral:rRNA from 1 species
AGCGGCAGCGCGGGGGCAACCCUGGCGGCGAGCGGCGAACGGGUGAGUAAUGCAUCGGAACGUGUCCUCUUGUGGGGGAUAACCAGUCGAAAGACUGGCUAACACCGCAUGAGAUCGAAAGAUGAAAGCAGGGGACCCGCAAGGGCCUUGCGCGAGAGGAGCGGCCGAUGCCCGAUUAGCUAGUUGGUGGGGUAAAAGCCUACCAAGGCGACGAUCGGUAGCUGGUCUGAGAGGACGACCAGCCACACUGGGACUGAGACACGGCCCAGACUCCUACGGGAGGCAGCAGUGGGGAAUUUUGGACAAUGGGGGCAACCCUGAUCCAGCCAUGCCGCGUGUGUGAAGAAGGCCUUCGGGUUGUAAAGCACUUUCGGCCGGAACGAAAUCGCGCGGAUUAACACCCCGCGUGGAUGACGGUACCGGAAGAAGAAGCACCGGCUAACUACGUGCCAGCAGCCGCGGUAAUACGUAGGGUGCGAGCGUUAAUCGGAAUUACUGGGCGUAAAGUGUGCGCAGGUGGCCGCGCAAGUCGAGUGUGAAAUCCCCGGGCUUAACUUGGGAAUUGCGCUUGAAACUACGUGGCUAGAGUGUGGCAGAGGGAGGUGGAAUUCCACGUGUAGCGGUGAAAUGCGUAGAGAUGUGGAGGAACACCAAUGGCGAAGGCAGCCUCCUGGGCCAACACUGACACUCAUGCACGAAAGCGUGGGGAGCAAAC